rnacentral:rRNA from 1 species
AUUGAACGCUGGCGGCAUGCCUUACACAUGCAAGUCGAACGGCAGCACGGGGGCAACCCUGGUGGCGAGUGGCGAACGGGUGAGUAAUACAUCGGAACGUGCCCAGUAGUGGGGGAUAGCCCGGCGAAAGCCGGAUUAAUACCGCAUACGACCUACGGGUGAAAGCGGGGGAUCGCAAGACCUCGUGCUACCGGAGCGGCCGAUGUCAGAUUAGGUUGUUGGUGGGGUAAAAGCCUACCAAGCCGACGAUCUGUAGCUGGUCUGAGAGGACGACCAGCCACACUGGGACUGAGACACGGCCCAGACUCCUACGGGAGGCAG